GUCGCCGCGCAGCAGCAGUUCUGUUCGGUUUCGCCUUCCUGCUGUGCAGUCUUUUGACGCUUGCUGUCCAACUUUGGAGUUUUCUUGCCUUUUUUUCUCUCAGAGUUGAGCCCCUGCCCGGGCCCUUUAGUCCCUCGGUCACGAGGAACGGUAGAGUUUAGAACCUGUGAGUACGUUAGAAAGUUCGCAGUCGAGGAAGAACAGGGUUCGGGCAAGGGCAGCUGGUCCGGUACCAAGGGAAAACAGGCUGGGAUGGUGAAGGCGUCAGUGGCUACAAGGCUGGAAGUUUAGCACCAGAAGGGAAUUUGGAGAUCAAUUCAACCGCCUCAUUUCAGGCAUACUUAAAUUGAAACCCAGAAAGAUGAGGUAAUUUGCAGAAGGUCACCCAGCAACCCCUGAGCAGGCAGGACUGCAACACAAAUGUCUGACGUGGGCUUCCACUGUGUAAUGCUAAGCAGAUAGGACGUAAAUUCCUUUGCAGACUUCUCAUUUUUCCUUACCCCCUGCCUCUCAUAUUACACACCUUCCCCAUUUAGCUUUUCUUCUUUUACUUUGCACUUGCUUUUGUACAUCUAAAAGGAAUUAAUUAUUCAACAGCAGUGGGAACCCUUGAAACAUAAUCUGGAAAAAAAGAUUAAUAAAGUUUUUUUUAUGUCGCGUAGUGAAAAGAGCAUGUGCUUUAGAGACAAACCUGGGCUCCAGCUAUUUACUUGUGAGAGCUUUAGGUCAAUUGGCUUUUAUUACAGCUUUUUAACCAUAAUAAAAUGGGGAUCCCUGCCUAGCAGAAGAUUGAUUAAAUGGAUCAUAAAUUGUCCAACUAGUGCCUAGCAAAUAGUACAUACUCAGUAUUUUCCCCUUUUUAAUCCCCGUUUUACAGGCGAUGGAACUCACCAGAGACCAGAUAGCUAGAGAAUGGCUGAGCUGGGUUUUAAAUCUAGUCAAUCUUGACCCCAGAGCUCUCCAGCCUAAAGGUAAUGUUUAGACUUAACUUCCAGUGGUGUCAUUAUAAGAGUCAAAAACAGACUGAAGAAAUAAAAUAGCAGAAUAAAGUAGUGGGGCAUUAAAGAAUCAUCUAGUUAAUUCUUGGUGAUGAUAACAGAAAUGUUGGGAAAAGUGUCAGAAGCCUUAAUUUUCUCCCCAUUCUUUCUGAGUAUCUUUAGAUCAACCACCACUUCCCAAGUAUUUGCAAACAAGCAGCAUAGAUAUUAUAGCCCUAGAAAGAGUUGGAAACAUUAUCACAACAUUAGCAAGAGAGUCAAGGCAUUUUUAAGGAAACAGAAGCUUCCAUUUCAUGAACUAAUAAAGCCCAAGGUGCCAAAGACACUGAUGUCAUACUGGAAAGUGGUGUAAAAUAAAAUUAUAAGCAUAAUUUCAACAUCAAAUAAAACAAAUGAUGAAACAUGCCAGUUAAUGGCAGAGCCAGCGUC
rnacentral:lncRNA from 1 species